rnacentral:rRNA from 1 species
CUCCGGUUGAUCCUGCCGGACCUGACUGCUAUCGGAUUGGUACUAAGCCAUGCGAGUCGUUGUAGCAAUACAAGGCGGACGGCUCAGUAACACGUAGUCAACCUAACCUAUGGACGUGGAUAACCUCGGGAAACUGAGAAUAAACCGCGAUAGAUCAUUAUGCCUGGAAUGGCUUAUGGUUCAAACAAUUUAUUGCCGUAGGAUGGGACUGCGGCCUAUCAGCUUGUUGGUGAGGUAAUGGCCCACCAAGGCUAUAACAGGUACGGGCUCUGAGAGGAGAGGCCCGGAGAUGGGUACUGAGACACGGACCCAGGCCCUAUGGGGCGCAGCAGGCGAGAAACCUUAGCAAUGUGCGAAAGCACGACUAGGUUAAUCCGAGUGAUUUCUGUUGAAGAAAUCUUUUGUCAGUCGUAAAACCACAGACGAAUAAGGGGUGGGCAAGUCUGGUGUCAGCCGCCGCGGUAAUACCAGCACCUCGAGUGGUCAGGAGGUUUAUUGGGCCUAAAGCAUCCGUAGCCGGCUACGCAAGUCUCCGGUUAAAUCCAGCUGCUCAACAGAUGGGCUGCCGGAGAUACUACAUAGCUAGGGAGCGGGAGAGGUAGACGGUAUUCUGUGGGUAGGGGUAAAAUCCACUGAUCCAUAGAGGACCACCAGUGGCGAAGGCGGUCUACCAGAACGCGUUCGACGGUGAGGGAUGAAAGCUGGGGGAGCAAACCGGAUUAGAUACCCGGGUAGUCCCAGCUGUAAACGAUGCAAACUCGGUGAUGCAUUGGCUUAUGGCCAAUGCAGUGCCGCAGGGAAGCCGUUAAGUUUGCCGCCUGGGAAGUACGGACGCAAGUCUGAAACUUAAAGAAUUGGCGGGGGAGCA